rnacentral:rRNA from 1 species
ACGGAGGGUGCAAGCGUUAAUCGGAAUUACUGGGCGUAAAGCGCGCGUAGGUGGUUUGUUAAGCUAGAUGUGAAAGCCCCGGGCUCAACCUGGGAAUUGCAUUUAGAACUGGCAGGCUAGAGUACAGAAGAGGACAGUGGAAUUUCUAGUGUAGCGGUGAAAUGCGUAGAUAUUAGAAGGAACACCAGUGGCGAAGGCGACUGUCUGGGCUGAUACUGACACUGAGGUGCGAAAGCGUGGGUAGCAAACAGGAUUAGAUACCCUGGUAGUCCACGCCGUAAACGAUGUCUACUAGCCGUUGGGACCCUUGUUGGUCUUAGUGGCGCAGCUAACGCAAUAAGUAGACCGCCUGGGGAGUACGGUCGCAAGAUUAAAACUCAA